GACGAACGCUGGCGGCGUGCUUAACACAUGCAAGUCGAACGGAAAGGCCCUGCUUUCAGGGGACUCGAGUGUCGAACGGGUGAGUAACACGUGGGUGAUCUGCCCCGCACUUCGGGAUAAGCCUGGGAAACUGUGUCUAAUACCGGAGAGGAGCCAUUUUGAGUCUGAUGGUUGGAAAGUAUUUUCGGUGUAGGGUGAGCUCGCGGCCUAUCAGCUUGUUGGUGGGGUAAUGGCCUACCAAGGCGGCGACGGGUAGCCGGCCUGAGAGGGUGGACGGCCACAAUGGGACUGAGAUACGGCCCAGACCCCCACGGGGGGGAGCAGUGGGGAAUAUUGGACAAUGGGCGGGAGCCUGAUGCCGCGACGCCGCGUGGGGGAUGACGGCCUUCGGGUUGUAAACUCCUUUCGCCAGGGGAGAAGCUUUUUGUGACGGUAACUAGAAAAGAAGCACCGGCUAACUACGUG
rnacentral:rRNA from 1 species